UUGCCAAUGAUGGUUACGAAUUUCUUCACCUGAACCAGCCAUGUGGUCAUACUGUAUCUGAGGCAAA
rnacentral:snoRNA from 2 species